CCUGACGGAGCAACGCCGCGUGAGUGAUGAAGGUCUUCGGAUCGUAAAACUCUGUUAUUAGGGAAGAACAAAUGUGUAAGUAACUAUGCACRUCUUGACGGUACCUAAUCAGAAAGCCACGGCUAACUACGUGCCAGCAGCCGCGGUAAUACGUAGGUGGCAAGCGUUAUCCGGAAUUAUUGGGCGUAAAGCGCGCGUAGGCGGUUUUUUAAGUCUGAUGUGAAAGCCCACGGCUCAACCGUGGAGGGUCAUUGGAAACUGGAAAACUUGAGUGCAGAAGAGGAAAGUGGAAUUCCCAUGUGUAGCGGUGAAAUGCGCAGAGAUAUGGAGGAACACCAGUGGCGAAGGCGACUUUCUGGUCUGUAACUGACGCUGAUGUGCGAAAGCGUGGGGAUCAAACAGGAUUAGAUACCCUGGUAGUCCACGCCGUAAACGAUGAGUGCUAAGUGUUAGGGGGUUUCCGCCCCUUAGUGCUGCAGCUAACGCAUUAAGCACUCCGCCUGGGGAGUACGACCGCAAGGUU
rnacentral:rRNA from 1 species